rnacentral:lncRNA from 1 species
GUUUAAAUUUUCUUUUUCUGCCAUUCGAAACUAUCUGGAUAGAUUGCAAGAUAUCUGCCAUCCAUUGAAAUAAUACUCAUACAAAAGUUGUUUGUGUUUAUUUAAUAUAAAUGUAAUUUAAAACUUUAUUUUGGCUUAUGGACCCUCUUGGGUGUUCCAAAAUUAAAUAGGCUUUGUUUGGGAGUUUGUGCAUGUUGGAAAUAAUAAUCCAAACUUAAUUAAAAUAUAGUUAUAGAGAAGUUUAAAUUUUUUAUUUAAUUAUGGUUAGGAUAUGUGAUUAUUCAAAGUAAAAUUGAAUUUAUCAUCUGUUAUGAUUUGAUGGUUAUAUAUAGUUAGGUAUGGAUUAAUUAGAGGAAUAAGUCACAGUAGAUAUGGUUGCAUAAGUAUUACCAAGAAUGUAAUUAAUUGUUUUUUAUUAAUAAAGUAUUAGUUUAGUUAUCUUCUUCCUCCUCCAAUAUCUCUUCUGUUUUAUUUUAAAUUUUAAGUUAUAUAAUCGGUAUCAGCAUAAAUACUAGUUUCAAUAAGUAGUAUCAAAGCAAAUAACG